ACCCUGCUGACGAGUGCGAAAUAGCACGAAACCCGAGUCCAGGGU
rfam:Schistosoma rodhaini strain Burundi genome assembly, scaffold: SROB_scaffold0011708